rnacentral:lncRNA from 1 species
UUUUUCCCAAAUAUUUUUCUAUCAAUGGUUGGUGGAAGCCGUGAAUUUGGAGCCUGUGGCUAUGGAGGGAUAUUCACACAGGGUAGGGGAAUUCAGCAUGCCUUUGGACCAUACCAGUCUCACAAAGCCCAUCUCUUUCAUGUGUCUUUAUCACAUUCUGUGAAGUAAUGGGCAGACUCACCACUUUCUGUAUCUCACAGACCCCAGGAAUACAACCAAAAGCCAUUUAAUAUCUGUGUACAUAUCUGAGCACUCAUUUUUAACACUCUCCAAGCAUGGUGAUGGAUAUUCACGUUUUCUUCACUUUGGAAAUAAUUCCACUAUAUUGAAAGGUCAACCUGGCCUGGCCUGAGGAGUGGUCUUUUUCUAUCUAGCAAUGGUGGCGGGGCUGAGUGGUCUGGUGUUGUAACAUGUGGGCCUUUGGUACAGCAGUUAAAAAAAAAAGUCACCAGUGACUCCAGAGGGAGAAAAAGUGGGAGGAAGUUAAUUUGGCUCUUAGGUCAUAAAUACACACAGCUUUUCAGCUUCCUUCCCUCUUCGGCUCUCAGCCAGCUUGCCUUCAAGAUCCUCAUCUAGACAAGGCUUAAAUUUGGCUUAACUGUUGGCUCCAGCAUUACCGUUUCACAAGGACGGAGGUGCAGCCUGUGUGGUGAUCCUUGCCAGGCGAAGGCACCAGGAAGAAUCCUUAUCCAAUGACGGGGACCCUAAAACUUGCCCGCACUCUUUUGAGGUGUCCGGCCUCAGAAAAUGCUGCUCCAAAGUCCUUUGGAUGGAAUUGAAUGAGACCUAGAGGAUUCACAAGGAAUCUCCAUUUUGAAGAUGGUGGCAGAUUCAAGAUCAGAAGUCUCACAGAGAGGGCUCCUGCUGAACGCCUGGGAGAAGAAUAGACCAGAAGGAGGCUGGACACAGAGGCUGUGUGGGGCCACUCCAGCCUAUCACCAGGACACCUAAGCCUUCUGUCCAGUUGUGCUUUACACUGUCCUCCAGGCUUCCAAACAGUUUUCAUUGAGUCUUUGGAUGCUCAUUUCUGAAGCCACAUUAAAUCGAGGCUACUUCCUCUUAUUAACCUUUCUUUUUGUUGUUUGGAGACAGGGUAUGAUUAUGUAGCUUUGGCUGGCUUAGAAUUUAUCAUAUAGACCAGGAUACCCUUGAGUCCCUCCUUCCUCUGACUCCUAAAUCUGAGUGCUGAGACAAAAGAUGUGUG